GUGCUCGCUUCGGCAGCACAUAUACUAAAAUUGGAACAAUACUGAGAUUAGCAUGGCCCCUGAGCAAGGAUGACACAUGGGAAUCAGAUCAGGAAAUUUCAGAU